GCCGCCGUAGCUCAGCCGGUAGAGCGCCGGCCUUGUAAGCCGGUGGUCGCGGGUUCAAGUCCCGCCGGCGGCU
rnacentral:tRNA from 4 species